GACGAACGCUGGCGGCGUGCUUAACACAUGCAAGUCGAACGGAAACGCCCCUUUGGCGUUCCUCGACUGGCGAACGGGUGAGUAACACGUGAGUAACCAUCCCUUUCCUUCGGGAUAACUUCAGGAAACUAGGGCUAAUACCGGAUAUGCAUCCUUGCUGCAAGGUGGGGGUUGAGAAGAUUGGCCGGUGUUGGGUGGACUCACGGCUUAUCAGCUUGUUGGUGGGUUAGUGGCUUACCAAGCCCUCGACGGGUAGCCGGCCUGAGAGGGCGACCGGCCAUCCUGAGACUGACGUACGGCCCAGACUGGUAAGGGAGGCAGCUGGGGGGAAUAUUGCACCAGGGGCGGAGGCCUGAUGCAGCAAGGCCUCGUGCGGGAUGACGGCUUUCGGGUGGUAAACAGCUUUCAGCAGGGGCGACGCUUGUGGUGACGGUACCUGCAGAAGAAGCACCGGCUAACUACGUG
rnacentral:rRNA from 1 species